GGAGAAGUGGCUGAGCGGUUGAAAGCGGCGGUCUUGAAAACCGUUGAGAGAUAACUCUCUCCCAGGGUUCGAAUCCCUGCUUCUCCG
rnacentral:tRNA from 1 species